rnacentral:lncRNA from 1 species
CUCCCCUAUAUUUGCACGGCGUCGCACAAGUACAAGAAGUCACCCAGGCACAACCACAACAAAUGAACAUACAAAUAACCAACCGUUAUAUAUAUUCAUACACUAUUCACCACAGAUUCACAUUUAUGCAUUCAACAUUUAAACAUAAAUCCACAUCUAUCAGUUAAAAUGUUUCCAACCACAGAAACAGGUUUUGAAAUACUACGAUAUAAAAUCACAGAAAACCUUUUGAAAGCUGUUUCCUACACAGAAACCUUUAUUCUUUAAAAACGCUACCACGAG